rnacentral:ncRNA from 1 species
UAACACAAUUCAAUCAAUCAUUAUCUAGCUUCACCGAUACAAGAUACCUGUUGAUAACCUUGUGAUUUAUUUAGAUCGUAGUAUUUCCUAACCAGAUAACUGAUUUCGCAUAAUCUAUAUUAUGUUAAAUAAUUAAUUACAAAAAGUCACUUUUGUGAGAAGGGCUACUCUUGCGAUUUAUUUUGUUGUGAGAAUAUUUAUUUUUUAUAUUUAAU